GACGAACGCUGGCGGCGUGCUUAACACAUGCAAGUCGAACGGAAAGGCCCUGCUUUUGUGGGGUGCUCGAGUGGCGAACGGGUGAGUAAAACGUGAGUAACCUGCCCUUGACUUUGGGAUAACUUCAGGAAACUGGGGCUAAUACCGGAUAGGAGCUCCUGCUGCAUGGUGGGGGUUGGAAAGUUUCGGCGGUUGGGGAUGGACUCGCGGCUUAUCAGCUUGUUGGUGGGGUAGUGGCUUACCAAGGCUUUGACGGGUAGCCGGCCUGAGAGGGUGACCGGCCACAUUGGGACUGAGAUACGGCCCAGACUCCUACGGGAGGCAGCAGUGGGGAAUAUUGCACAAUGGGCGGAAGCCUGAUGCAGCGACGCCGCGUGCGGGAUGACGGCCUUCGGGUUGUAAACCGCUUUCGCCUGUGACGAAGCGUGAGUGACGGUAAUGGGUAAAGAAGCACCGGCUAACUACGUG
rnacentral:rRNA from 1 species